GGGACGGACUGGGCUGUUCCGAAGGCGGGGUCGCUGCUCUGAGCGGCGAGGUGGGACGGGGGGUGCGGCGGUUCUGGCUGGCUCACCUGUGGCCGCCCAGGUGCUGCCAGACUCCCAGUCCCGGCCACGCGACCGCAGUACGAAACAUACUGGGAAGAAAGCCUCAUUAUUUAUUUAUUUUUUACACCACCGUUUAUCCGAGGAUCACAGGGCGGUUUACAAAUAAAAACACAGAAAUGUGUAGCAUUGGAACAUACAAAAACAACAACACCCCCACCCCCGUUUAAAAGUCCUGGGAGAAGAGGAAUGAUCUCAAUGAUUUAUUUACCUUUUAAAUAUGUAGAUGUUAAGAUUUCAAAUGCUGUUAUUCCUUGGGUUCCAAGAAUCGUCCUUCAGUAAAACUUAAUCCUGGUUUUGUUCAUUUCUAAUACAUUUCAACUUUCCA